UGCACACAGUUUAGUUCUAGCUUGAUAACUGAUGCAUUUUUGAGAGUAAGGCAAAGAAUGGCAGUAACAGAGAAGUCAUAAAACUUGCAAAGAUGAAACUCCUUACAGGGCUCCGUGGCUAUGGUUAAGUCACUCGUGAAAUCACACAAUAAAAUGUAACUGUCUGCUGUGUCAGAACGACAUUAAAGCGUACAAGUAACAUACAGCAGGCUGAGAUUACACCUUGGGACUUUACAAUAUUUAGAAUUAGGCUUUGUUUUCUUUUAAACGAGAGUUAAAAUACAAGCCGGGGCAAAGGAAAGAUUGAAGCGAUAUUUCUUGAGCAGGUGAAAUCAAAUUAAGAGCUACACGUCUCUUCAGCUUCUUCCUUUUGGCAGAAAGAUCUACUCAAUUGUUCUGAUUUCUUUUUUACUAUUGCAAAUUGUUUCCACUAAGCUAAUGGAGAUACUAAUAAGCUGCUUCAGCAAGCCUGUAAAGUAUAGACCAAAACUAGCUGAAACAUGAAGGUCAUUUUUUUAACACUUCGUGACAACUGCACUGUCGUAUUUGAUGGCAGGCUGUGCCUGGUAGGGAAGUCUUAGAGCUGGUGUGCGGAUCCUGUACUGACCAUGGUGGGGGGAGAAUGCAACACAGACCUUCAGCCUCCCACUGCUAAGCAAGGCUGUGCCGAUAUAUGAAGGAAGAUGUUCAGAGAACUGCAACACUUAAAUUGCCAGGAUCAAAAAUACACCUUCUCCUCUUUUUCUGGAAGCUAUGUCAGUUUCUUCAUAACCAGUGGCAGCAAACUUUAACAAUUUUCUCACUAAUGGAAGAAGCUGUAAUCAAAAUCUUUAUGGGUGGUCAACAGUU